rnacentral:rRNA from 1 species
AGGUCCGCUGCCAGUGACACCAACCUGUUAACGGCCGCGGUAUACUAACCGUGCAAAGGUAGCGUAAUCACUUGUCCCCUAAAUAGGGACUAGUAUGAAAGGCUAAAUGAGGGCCUACCUGUCUCCUUUAACCAAUCAGUGAAACUGAUCUACCAGUACAAAAGCUGGUAUCAACCCAUAAGACGAGAAGACCCUGUGGAGCUUUAAAUGGAAAAUCAACCCAACACCAUGAAUUACCAUUUUUAGUUGGGGCGACUACGGAAAAAAACCAAACUUCCAAGCAACAACCCACCCAGACCAACACGUCCACACCGACCCAGUACCACUGAAUAACGAACCAAGUUACCCCAGGGAUACCAGCGCUAUCUUCUUUUAGAGUCCCCAUCGCCAAGAAGGUUUACGACCUCGAUGUUGGAUCAGGACACCCCCAAUGGUGCAGCCACUA